GGUUUUACUAUUGUAUGUUGCUUUGUGAUUGUUGAUAUCAUUGCAAGUUUUUCUAUGAUGCUACCUGUGACUAUGUUAUAGUUUAUAUGUGACCACCACAUAAGCAUGCAUUAUAUUGUUUGUUUUGCCAGAACAAAAAGUUGAAUACUAUAAAAGGAUGUGAGAAGAUUUGAAGAAGAAAGAAAGGAAAAGACAUGGGAAGACAGAGGAUAUAGACUACAAUUAUACCUGUGACUAUGUUAUAAUUAUAGAGUACAUGUUACAUUGGAUGAAAACUUGUAAUCGUUUUAUUAUGUAAUUCAAAAUGUGUUGCAUAGUGCAUAGUUCAUUUUCAUUAUGCAAGACAGGGGAAAUUUUAUAGAGUAUGUAAUUCAAAUUGGUUAUUAAAACUUGUCUCUAAUAUGUUAAUUCAAAUAUGAAUGAAGUCUAAGCAAAGAAAAUUUUUGUAGAUUAAAAAAAUUAUAGUCUAAACAAUU
rnacentral:lncRNA from 1 species